UUUGUAUUUCUUUUUAUGUUUGUGCCAAGCAAAAUCAUUAUGAUUAGUCUUGGGGAUGAUCGUUUGGUCAUGCUGGAAAAGACAGAAACUUUCUGCUCAAGAAAAGAAUUUUCAUUUUUCUUAUGUAAGAGCUUUUGAGUUGAUUCUUUUUGCUGCUGAUUGCUACGCAAAUUCUUCAAACUUUUGUAAUUUUUCAGAAUUUUUGAAGUACCA
rnacentral:lncRNA from 1 species